rfam:Schistosoma haematobium scaffold330_10, whole genome shotgun sequence.
AUCCAGCAGACGAGUUACGAAUAGGACGAAACGCGCGUCCUGGAU